rnacentral:rRNA from 1 species
ACGGGUGAGUAACACGUAUCCAACCUGCCGUCUACUCUUGGACAGCCUUCUGAAAGGAAAGAAUUAAAACAAGAUGGCAUCAUGAGUCCGCAUGUUCACAUGAUUAAAGGUAUUCCGGUAGACGAUGGGGAUGCGUUCCAUUAGAUAGUAGGCGGGGUAACGGCCCACCUAGUCUUCGAUGGAUAGGGGUUCUGAGAGGAAGGUCCCCCACAUUGGAACUGAGACACGGUCCAA